rnacentral:rRNA from 1 species
GACGAACGCUGGCGGCGUGCUUAACACAUGCAAGUCGAACGGAAAGGCCCUGCUUUUGUGGGGUGCUCGAGUGGCGAACGGGUGAGUAACACGUGAGUAACCUGCCCUUGACUUUGGGAUAACUUCAGGAAACUGGGGCUAAUACCUGAUAGGUGCUCCUGCUGCAUGGUGGGGGUUGGAAAGUUUCGGCGGUUGGGGAUGGACGCGCGGCUUAUCAGCUUGUGGGUGGGGUAGUGGCUUACCAAGGCUUUGACGGGUAGCCGGCAUGAGAGGGUGACCGGCCACAUUGGGACUGAGAUACGGCCCAGACUCCUACGGGAGGCAGCAGUGGGGAAUAUUGCACAAUGGGCGGAAGCCUGAUGCAGCAACGCCGCGUGCGGGAUGACGGCCUUCGGGUUGUAAACCGCUUUCGCCUGUGACGAAGCGUGAGUGACGGUAAUGGGUAAAGAAGCACCGGCUAACUACGUG